GGAGCAGAAGGUCAAAAGCUCGCUUGAUGUUGAUUUUCGGUAUGAAUACGGACCGUGAAAGCGGUGCCUCACGAUCCUUCUGACCUUUUGGGUUUUAAGCAGGAUUGAAGGGUCAAAACACAAAGU